AUGCCACCUUCCGUGCACGACACGGAAGGCCUGUCGUUCAUGAAGCAUGGUUGUGUCUUCAGUGCGCACCGCCGGAUGAACGACAUGCUGGGACACGCUAUCCCUGAUUUAUGUCGCUUCAGUUUGGAUGAGUCUUCAUCGUGUGGAACCGGACUAGAAAGUUGCGACAAUGAUUCCCAUUGUCCACCGCUAUGGAUCGUGUCAUCCAUGAAGAACAUGUGGGACUGGAACCUGGAGGAGGACAUGCAGCCCAUCUAUAACGUUACUGCCAUCUCUUCUUCUUCCUCCUCUCUUCUUCUUCCUCGUCUCUUCCCCAUCAUCGGCUGCACACCAUUUACCCCCGCUCACUGCUCGCCCACCCGCGCCAUCUUCCUUGGUAGCUCGCGCGUACCAUAUCCCCCCGCUCACUGCUCGGCCACACGAGGAGAAGCUUCUUCGCUCACCUGCCCGAAUCCACUUCCCCGCUGGCUCGACCUGGAAUCAUACCAGCCGAUGGUGUGUGAAAGGCAUAAAGCUUCCAUGCGAUGGAUGGCUUUUACAAACCCAACAUGCGGCAAUGUGGUACCAUAUAACUGGAAUUAUCGAUGCAAGUCGAAGAAGGAUUGGCCGAUGCUGCCGGCUGGCGUCAAGUUCGAUCCCACGGAUCAGGAGCUGAUCGAGCACCUUGAGGCCAAAGUGAGUGCUGAUAGCGCGAGAUUUCAGUCUCUCAUCGAUUUGUUCAUACCAACCAUCGACAACGAGCACGACAUAUGCUACACCCAACCUGAGAAACUUCCAGGUAUCACACUGAGUGGCCUAAGGAAGCAUUUCUUCCAGUGCAAUUCUAGGGCGUUCAAAAGGGGCACGUGGAUGCGUCGCAAGAUACAGUCGGAGUGCGGCAUGCACGCGAUGUGGCACAAGACCGGCAAUACCUUGCCGGUGAUGGUCAACGGCCGACAGACGGGCAGCAAAAAAAGUUUUGGUGCUGCACACCAACAAGAACUUCAACCAGCAGAGGACCAACUGGGUGAUGCACCAGUACCACCUCGGGGACCUGGAGCAAGAGAAGGAGCGGGAGCUGGUCGAGCAAGUUUCAACUGGGCUGUAGACUGCCCAGGGUUGAUUUUGAUUUUAAUAGGCCCAGCCCAUGACGACAACGGGGCACAAAGAUCCAGCAGCGCCGUUGGCUCUGAUUUCUUGGGGUGCAUCACCGUGACCACAAUUUGUCCGAUGCCAAGCUCGUUUGGUCUCCGUGUCCUCUUCUGCUUCGGUGCUUUACCGGCUACGGCAGCAUCGUUGCCGGUCUCGAGGAUGGUGUCGGUGCAAGUGUCGACAUCAGUGUCGGGCUUGGUGCCACUGCCGCCACCCUGCACCCGCAACUGGUGUUCGUCCAGCACGAUCAAAACAAAAUCCACUUGCACCUCAUAUCACAUCGCGAGAAUUGAAUCCGAACAAGUCGAUAAACACGUCGACUGCAAGGCUGCCGACUGGGGGUUGCCCCCUGCGAUCUCGACGAGGGCCACACGGAACGACUAUUGUCGUUGGGCCUCAUGUAUCAUGGCGCCGAUGGAGAAAUCCAUACUGCUCGCCGGCGGCGAUCUCGACGUGGGCCACGCAGAGGGACUGUUGUCCUUGCCUCACGUACCAUGGUGCCAGCAGGGAAUCCAUACUCAAGGUCGAUCCGAGUUGUGGCCAAUUCUUACCUGUAACUCCAGCGACCGGAUCACAUUGUUAGUGUCGGUUUCGCCGGAGCGAACAUCUCAGCCUCAUACGUGCAUGGUACUUCCGCCGCUUCCAAGGGAUCCCCAAGUGAGAUGCACCGACUGCUUGCAUGUAUCGUUGGCUUGCUCUAACGUGGAGAUGCCGAGCCCCAACUUUCAAGCAGGAAGUGUGUCCUCUCCUAUGCACGAUUUAUUAUCGUUGGGGUUUUUUUUCAUCCCCCUUCCUAUCACACCACUUCCCACGCAGAAAAAAACCACCCCUGCACAAAAAACUCUCCUCUCCACCCCAUCUCCGAUCUCCCUGCCGCCGACUCUUCGUAGCCGCCGCCCACGUGCGAACUCGUUCGUUGCCGCCGCCGCCGUCCGAGGGGAGACGCCGCCGUCGCGUCUCCAGGCAGGGCGGCUUGAAUCCCUGUCGCCGGGAUCGCCCCGCCGAACUCCGGGCCAUGGCGAGAUCCAGCAGGCCAUGGCGGCGACCAGCGCCGGGAUAGGACCAGGAGGCCGCCGGCGUCUCCCUGAUCCGUGACCCCGACGCCAUGGAGCUGCUCGUCAAGGCACGCAGGCACGCGCGGGUCCAGCGGCAGGAAGGGCACAGAGGAGGACCGAGCUCGCCGGUGCGCGUGGCCAAGGGAUGUAGCUGCCCGGAGCUACUUCGCCCUCGACGAAGAGGAGACCGCGGGCCAGAGCUCCUGGUCUCCCAGGGCCGCCGAGCGCAAGGAACUAUUGCCAUGGCACCUCCUCGCUCGCCCUCGGUGCAGCGGCCGUGUAUAUGGAAUUGUGCCCUGGUGGGGGCUCCGAGGGAGGAAACCGACUAGCACAAGGCGCUACUGCCAUAGCGUCCGGAGGGAGGCAUGACGCGCAGGGCUACAGGGAAUCCGCCGACGACAUAUGUGGCUUCUCCUACGCCUGAUGGUGCUGUCAUUGCAGCGGCGGCAGCGGAUCUGAGUCCCACCCGUUGGGAUCGAACGACAGAUGGCGUGAGGCAGUUGGAUGCGAGUCCCACUCCCAACCUGAGGGCUCGACCUUCUCGAUUCCUGGCUGCGGCGGGUGUGGAACUCCGAAGUGACGGUGAACUCGCCGGCGUCGCACUGCCCCCACACAAGCGCCAUCAGAAAGCACUUCGCUCUGUUGCACACAAGCAAUAGCUAUUUCUGCACCAAUCUGUCCGAAGAUAUAAAGUUUGAACCAGCCCUUAGCUGCAUUUGGUCAGUUCAUCUUUCAGGAGAAUAUGCAUCUUACUUAGUUCGAGGUGAAAUUUUGUUUGUUGCAUCAGGAAUCAAAAAAAUAUGGUGCCUCCGUAUCUUUAUAUAAAGUCCUUAUUAUAUAUGUUGCUUGCUUCCAUUGAAUUGGAUGUAACAUUGUGUACACUUAAUGUCGAGACUAAUGUGUAUCGCCAAUUUCAGUAUAGUCGAAACAUAUUGAUGGCACUGAAAAUGAUUCUGCUUUUGCAGGUGUGACCUGACUCUUCUUUGUACGUAUGUAAUUGGUUUAUUUCUUGAUAGGGUGGUACUCUCUGAAUUUCUUGAUGAGUGUUCCCGUUGCUGCACUGCAUUGUGGCCGAGUCCUCUUCUUGGCCAUGCCAGUGACAUGAGCAGGAUGGUGUAUACCAGCUUCCCAGACAUGUGUCUGUCGAGGACGCACCGGGUUUGUGGAGGUGAUGGCACGAGUAUUUACCAGGAUGCUUGGAGAUGCGUUGGCAUAUGUCUAGAACAACCUGGUCCACGCAUGGGGUCUGACUUGAAUAUUUCAGGAGAUGACUAGAUGUAAAUCUGACUUUCAGAUAAUACAUCUGUGAAUUACGCAGAAUCAUAUAGAGCAGAUGGGCAUCGUUGACACGUAGUGCAUGACACAUUGCACGAUUAACAUGCUCUUAGGCCAGCUAAGUAACAUAAGACAACUUUUGUAUGAAGAUCGGUUGUUCGGUUUCAUUCUGACAGUUUAGAAGCUUUUGUUUGGCGUUUCUCUCAGCCGGAUAAUAGAGAAAAAGAGACUUACGCAGGGUCAUGGUGGCUGGGUUUUGCUGGCGUUGUGGUCCAUGCAUACCAAUUCUUUGAAUCAGUGCCACCGUGCAGUGAUGUAAGAAAAAAGUGUGUCGUUUGUCGACUGUGGGCAAUGGAGUGAUGUAGAUGUACUGUAGAGUACAUAUUCAAGGGAACUGUGAGGUGACUUAGAUAGCUGUAAUGAGCUGAUGGAGCCUUUGACCUGAAGUUAUAUUUGUAUAGAUUACAUGAUUUGUUGAUGAGGAUAAGAAAGAGGAGCUGAUGGCAAACAAACCGAGGAAAGUCACCGAAGAUUGAGGUUGGGUGCGAUGCCACAUCAGAAGGUAUUUAGGCUAUGGGUGAGUUAGGGGCCAUGGAGCGAGCCGAUAGGAGGGUCGAGUAUGGUGCAUACAUGUCAACGUUGGUAGUCAGAACUUGAUGCUGAGUGCGGAUGGGAAUGAUGGGGUGAGGAUGGGCAUGCUUUAGUCCAGCAAUUUAUCAUUGCCAAAUGGUUCAAUCCCGGUGAUGUCAUUGCUGGAUAUGCAAGGUCUCAUUGGGCAAGGUAUUCGAAGUUCUUAAGUGCCUAGGAACCUAGCUGUGCUUUUGUAUUGACGUGAUUAGCAAGUGUAUUUACCGAAGCAUAGAUGUAAUGUGGGUUAUGUGUAGCACCGAAUCUGAGAUGGCUGCAAUCCAGUCGGUUCUGGCAUUGGAGAGUUACGAGUGAAUCAGACUUAAUCAGAUGGCAUCAACACUGUUAAUCAUUGGAAGGUCUGCCGAGCGUUUGAGACGAGAAGCAUGGUGCCAAUACAUACUUUUGGUUCUUAACCCAGAUGAUCUCAUUUAAAGUUGUUGGCGUUUGUUAUAAUCAUUCUUGAUGAGCUGCACAACGCUUCAUGUAUUGCACUACUAAUGUGUUUAUUUGGUGGUCAAACUCCUGUUCCACUCCUAUAUAGAUGCUAUGAAAAUAAUUUGUUUUGUUUACUGAAAUCUGAAUAUAAGUGAAUCUAUCUUAAAUGAGU
rnacentral:rRNA from 1 species